UCUCUUCAGCCUGACAUCCUUUUAGGAUGUCAUCCCUGCCUGUAGAAAAGUGAACAUGAUUGCUGCUUCUAUUUAUUCACACAGAGAGUGUGCCCAAGCCUGAUACCUGGCUCUGGAUUAAAUGAACUGUGCUUUGUAUUUGCACUUCACAGCUGGCUAGAAAAGUCAACUCCUACAAUUGUCAAAGGUCAAGUUCAGAAUGUCUAGACACUUUCUUAAAUAUUCCGACUUGUUUUGAACUUCAAGGAAAAAUGAAACUUCAAAUAUUUUUCUUGAAAGAACACAGAGAAGAUGGGCUGGCCACAGAGUUUACUUACAUUUUCAUGAUUCCUUUUUUAAAUGCUUCACUCGGGGAAUUUUCAGACAAUCUUUGUUUUGUAUUCCUGCCCUUUGUUAUACAUGGCUGCAACCCAGAACUGUCAGAGGAGAUUAAGUUUAUAAAAGAAGAGUUUCUACAUUUUUGAAAUAUUUUGACUAAGUGAAAUCAUUUUUUUUUCUAUCUGCAAUGCAAUUCAGCUCAGUUCGACAGAUAUUUACUGGGCCUUGUGCAAACCACUGAGCUUUAAUAGAUGAAUGAGACAUUGCUCCUGGCUUCAGGUGAACACAAAUAAUGUCUCUUUACUGUGGAAACUGCUAUGGUACACAAGCAGGCACAGGCUGCUAGAGGAGGACAAAAGAAGAAUGCUGAGCUCUGCCUCAUUAGAGAAAAUGAGCUAAGUCAUGAAGACCAGUAAAAGCUGAGCAGAAAAAGAAGGGCAGGAGCAGCAGAAGCAAAGGUCAUGAAGUUUCAUGAACACGCAAAGAGAUGGGGUGUCCCUAUGUUGUCCGAGCUGAUCUUGAGGUCCUGGCUCCUGGCCUCAAGAGAUCCUCCUGCCUCAGCCUCCCAAAGUGUCUGGAUUACAGGUGUGAGCCACCAGGUAAUCCACCUGUGGAUUACAG
rnacentral:lncRNA from 10 species